UACGGAGGAUGAAAGCGUUAUCCGGAAUGAUUGGGCGUAAAGCGUCCGCAGGUGGCAAUGUAAGUCUGUUGUGAAAGCGUCUGGCUCAACCAGAUAAAGGCAGUGGAAACUACAUAGCUAGAGUAAGGUAGGGGUAGAGGGAAUUCCUGGUGUAGCGGUGAAAUGCGUAGAGAUCAGGAAGAACACCGGUGGCGAAAGCGCUCUGCUGGACCUUAACUGACACUGAGGGACGAAAGCUAGGGGAGCGAAUGGG
rnacentral:rRNA from 1 species